AACAAACGCUGGCGGCAGGCCUAACACAUGCAAGUCGAGCGAAGCCUUCGGGCUUAGCGGCGGACGGGUGAGUAACGCGUGGGAACGUGCCCUUUGGUACGGAAUAGCCCCGGGAAACUGGGAGUAAUACCGUAUGUGGUCGAGAGACGAAAGAUUUAUCGCCAAAGGAUCGGCCCGCGUUGGAUUAGGUAGUUGGUGGGGUAAUGGCCUACCAAGCCGACGAUCCAUAGCUGGUUUGAGAGGAUGAUCAGCCACACUGGGACUGGGACACGGCCCAGACUCCUACGGGAGGCAGCAGUGGGGAAUCUUAGACAAUGGGGGAAACCCUGAUCUAGCCAUGCCGCGUGAUCGAUGAAGGCCUUAGGGUUGUAAAGAUCUUUCAGUGGGGAAGAUAAUGACUGUACCCACAGAAGAAGCCCCGGCUAACUCCGUGCCAACCGCCGCAGUAAGAC
rnacentral:rRNA from 1 species